AAAACCACGGUUAUGCUAUAUAAGAACGUUUAUGUCAUAUAAUUAUACUGCUAGAUUGAGUAACAAGACUAAAAUUUAGUUUUAUGUUUAAUACAAAACUUGAUACCGGUGUAUGUGUAUUUAUUGAGUACCAUAAAAACAAGGAAAAUUAAUACAAAGCAUUGUACAAUGACAAUUUUUUUGGUUUUCAAGCGAACCUCAGAAGGAAUUGUAACCCAUCAAUAUAAUGGGUGAUCUACUGUUGCUUGUUCGUGAGUCGCAAAAAAGUAUGUCAAUUAGAGUUCUGCGAAAAGGGAUGACUGUUAUUUAUGUGAAAAAAAAACAUCUGUUAUGUAGAAACGAUCAUCAAGCCGGACAUGCCAAACUACUUAGUUUAGAUGCGUAUUGUUUAUAACAGAAGUAAAAUAUUGAAAACUUAUUAAAAUAUAAUAAUUUCAACAAAAUAGACUAUUACAUUAUAUUUACUUAUCUUAAAAUAUUUAUUUUCAUAUUUAAGAUGAUAAGAACAACAAAUUACCGUUUAUCCAAUAAUAAUAAUAAUAAUAAUAAUAAAUA